rnacentral:piRNA from 1 species
UGAACCAAAGAUGUUGCCUUCGCUGCU